ensembl:lncRNA MIR7515HG MIR7515 host gene
AUUGGCAAGAGUGGGGACAUGGAAGCUGUGUUCAGGCCGGUCCACGCUGGGUGACCCAUGUGACCUGCUGCUUAGCAAUUCCUUGUCACCAUCUUCCCUUCUCAGCCUCUUUUUUCAUGCUAACAGGCAUAAAUGAAAUGAUAAAAGUUUGAGCUCUUCUCGUGGAAUUCUCGUGAUACAGAUAUGUGCUACAUGUUCAUCAUCUCGUUGGUCUUCACCAUGAUAACUGUGGAGUAAGAAUUAUAAGCAGGUCACAGAUUAGGGACUUGAGAUUGACAGUUUGGCUUCCCUGUUCUGGGUGGCAAAGCCUGUGGAGUACUCACCUACCUGCUGCAUGAAGGCAGCAUGGAGGGACUGUGGUGGAUUAUCUGCAAAGAUGGCCAAAAUUCUCUCAUCCCUGCAGGCACAUACAAGCCAGGUUUCCAGAAGUUCCCCAGUCAUUGAGCAUUUCUGAGGCUCUUGAUGCAUAUGCCAAGUAGUUAUGGAGAAAGACACAGCAGCUUACCUCUGCAGGCAUCAUUGUGUGAAAGGAAGACCCAGGCUCUCUCACCACCCUUGAACAGAAGCCUUUUGCUAAGGUGAUAGCUACAUGUCCAAGCCUAUUGCGUGGCAUGCAUUUUGCCUUCUGCAGCCCACUAAAGGAAAUUGAAGUAUACAGAAUGCUUAUUUGGUCUACUCAGUAUCAUCCUAAAUGUAUGUACCAAUGCUUAGGAGUUUGCAGUUCACCCGCAAACCUCAGCGAUCCAAGCUCCCCUGGAUGACCAUCACUCACCAAGAAAAGAGCAAUAACAGGACCUGUUUUGCUAAUCCAGGACUGUUCUCCAGCACUAACUCUAAAUAAUCCCUUCUGCUAGAGUCCACUUUCUGGAACCUGUUGCCUCCGUUUUCAACGUUUCCCAAACUUGGUCCGUUGUGUGAGCUGGCUGAUAAAAGUUCCAGGGAGAAGACAUCUUACUCUUAUUGGAUCAUGCACAGUGCCUGAAGCAUUCUGUUGCAUGUAGAAGGUAUUGGUGGAUGUUUGUUAAUUGAUUUGUUGAAUUUUUUUUCACUGAACACAUUCCCAAGAAACAGCCAAACCCAGAGUAAGGAAACCAUCUGGCAAGAACCGCUCAAGAGAAUGCUUCUUGGCUCUCACAUCUUAAAGGUCUUAAAAUAGCUAACAUUUAUUGAACAUUUUACUAUAUGCCAGGUAUUAUGGGCUAAGCCCAUUAUAUAUGUGAUCUCAUAUAAUUAAUCUUCAAAACAAUCUUGUGUCAUAAAUGCUACAAAUACUUUGAUUUUAAAACUGAUGAAAA